rnacentral:rRNA from 1 species
UACGUAGGGGGCAAGCGUUGUCCGGAUUUAUUGGGCGUAAAGAGCUCGUAGGCGGUUUGUCGCGUCUGCCGUGAAAGUCCGGGGCUCAACUCCGGAUCUGCGGUGGGUACGGGCAGACUAGAGUGAUGUAGGGGAGACUGGAAUUCCUGGUGUAGCGGUGAAAUGCGCAGAUAUCAGGAGGAACACCAAUGGCGAAGGCAGCUCGCUGGGCCAUCCUGACGCUGAGACGCGAAAGCUAGGGGAGCGAACAGG